UAUUAAUAGUUAUAAAAAAAAAAGAGAAUUGAAAAUUCGAAUACCCAACGCCUGUAACGGUCGUUUUGCUCCCGUGAAACCCCACCCUCCCCUUUCUUCUUCAUCUUCGGUGGUCAAGCAACGCCAGCAAGAUCCUCCGGUCACUUUAGCACGUCCGGCGUUCCUCUGAACGAUUGCCAGAAGCUUUAAUAGCAGCGGAGAAUAAGGAGAGAGAGGAGAAUCGCACGAGUAGACCACAACUUCUUGACACUAUUUCCGGCGUUAUGUGGUAGCCAAAUCCAACGAUACUUGUUUCAAUCGACUCCUUAUGAUCCCAACUUUCUUAUGCAAGUGACGAAAUUCAAUUUCAUGGCUGGAGGAGAAAGACAGAAAAGCGAGGAGUUUCGGACUUUUGAAGCUUCCAAGGCCGAUUUCGGGUAGUUGGUGAUUGAAAUAGACAAUCGGGCCAGUUAAUCUUCAUCGUCUCGAUGCAAGCUUUGAUUUGGCACUAAUCACACUUCGAUCAGAGAUUGGAUAGAGAAGAUGGUCAAUGGAAGGCCUAAACUAAAUCAAUCGAUAUUAGACGAUAUAAGUGGAGUUUUGAUGAAUCGUCUCUAGACUUGUAAUUAGUGCUCAUCGACAUUCGAGACUAAGUUUUCAAUCAGAUUCGAACACCUGACGAACCGUCCAAGAAGAUGAUUGUUCUCAACAUUUUUAGAAGCUGGUUCCAAGUGCCAGAAUCAACGUCGGAUUUCGCCUUUUAACUCGAUGACACGCUCACUUACGUCUGGCCGCUGCCAUCGGAGUUCACCUCUGGCGAUCGCACCCUAUCCAUUGACCCUGCACUCUCUCUUGGAGGCAAGUCCACUAUCACUAAGGACGCGUUUGAGAGAUACAAGAGGAUUAUCUUCAAGCAUCGCCAGAGUUUUUCUAUUUUUCAGAUGUUAGGUAUAAAGGAUCGGCUUAUGACAUCAGUAAAUUGAAAAUUGUGGUUCACUUUGGUAGUGAGGAGCUUCAGCUUGGGGUGGAUGGGAGUACUUUAUUUGUAGAUAAAAAUAAUGGGCAAUCAAUUAUUGCAGAGGCGACCAUUGAGAUAAAAGGUUUUGGACUUUGAGUUUUAUGGGGUUGUUUUGUUUCCAUGAUUAGAUGGCGCAUCCAGAUAUUGAUUUAUUGUUGAUUUGGUUAUUUGAUGCAUGCUACAUUUGGUUUGCUAAAUAGCACCAUUUCCGGUUCUUCAUUUUCUGAAAGGAUGCACCAUUUGAUUUCACUUAAUUAUUUCUUUAAUACAAUGAUGUAGGCUUGUUAUGGUUACUUAUGUUGGAGAUAUUAUCCCUCACCUACACUGAGCAGUUCCAUAACAUGGUAUUAGAUCCUCCAAUGCUUAAUGUCCCCCUAUUAUUAGUUAAAUUUCAACGCAUGCUAAGGUCGGCCUAUGCUUGUCCGUGCUCCAAGGGCGUUUUAGAGAUAAUAGAACUUAUUCUUGAAUCCUCACCUAUAAAAUUGAGCUUUUAGGUUGAGAGGUUCAAUGACAAGCAAAAAGAAAAUCUUGUUAAUGAUCAUAAUCUAACAUGACAUUAUGUUGGAUACCUUUUGAUGUUUAGUGAUAGAAGUUAGUUCAAUCCUUGACAGAUUACUGGAACUCUACUUCACAUGUGAAUCAAUGGUACAUACCUGAACUGAUCGCUUGUUACAUGAUGACUAAAUCCAUGGAAACUGUUGUUCAGAUAAGCACGUGAGACUUGUCUAUCUUAUGCCCAGUUUGAAGGAAAUUGCAGAAAAUGGAUCUAUAAAUUCACCUUAUCUUUUUUUGUUACAUUUAACACUUGUCAUGAAGAAAUUAUUAUGAUUCUGAACAUGUAUUAUUUCAUCUAACCUUAAAAAUGGAAUAGGGCCUUUUCUUUCAUUUUUUAUGAGAUUCCUUUCUUAUGCGGUACACAAAUAACAAUCAGCAGUAAAGAAUGCCUAAUAUACUCCGGUCUUGGAUCUUUUAUAGUCAUUAAUAACUCUAGUGUUAAAUUUUCUUUUAUCUUUGAUGAGAUCUAUUUUUUUUUUCAAACUAAGCAACAAUGAGCUGUAGAGAAUGCAUUACUACCUGGGCUCUGGAAAGUUGGUUUGGAUGGUAUAUGCAUCCUGUCUCACAUGCUUUCUUGGCAUGCAUGUUCUAAACUUUUGGAUUUCAUCUUUCCUAGAACUAUAGUUAUCAAAGGCUUAAGGCGCACCAAGGUGCCAAGGUUUCUUGGAG